rnacentral:lncRNA from 1 species
UCCAGUUAUCCCCUGAUCAAAACUAUAACCAAAAAACUCCUAAAAUUUCCAUUAUUGAGUUUUACAACAUUGAACUCAAGCAGAUUUGUUGUGUUUCUUUAAAAAAACGAAGCCAUUAUUGACAAUUGACAGACCUAACAGAAUAAAGAAUAUAAAUGAUCAGAAGAAGAAAAAACAAUUGGUUGCCUUUUGGUUCUCAACUUGUUAAGCUUCCUUGGGUACCUGGGAAAAUACCCAUUUGCCAACUCUUUUGAUCUUCUCCCUUUGUUGAAAAUCAUUCAUUGUUGUUUACUUCUGCUAAAAGAAUAGCUAUGGCAGCUAAAACUAAGAAAACGGGUAGCUAAGAAAGAAAGAAACUAAUUUUCAAAAAAAAAAGAAAAAGCAAGAAAGAAACUAAAUGUAAAGAAACUGUCGUGAAACAAGGAUUUCAAGAAGGAUAGACCAUGGAAUGGCUUUCUGUUGAUGGGGGUUUAUUGCCGCAGAGACAGAAAGAGAAUACAAGUUUGAGGAUUCUCUUGAGGACUUGGCCGCGCAGAGGAAUCCAACGAGGCGCUUUCGCUGCUGCACCACUAGGACGUAGGGGAUAUCCUCGAACCCUGGUGGCUGCUCCAGGUUGGCAAGUAGACGCAGCCAUAGUACGAUGUGAGCUGUUAAAACUCAAAAGUCAGGAUGGGGGCAGGAACUGGGAAGGAUCGCUUGGUUAGGGCUUGGCUGGCACACCGACAGGUUAAUAUACAAAGCGCAAUGGUGCCAGUUUAAAAGCGCGGGCAAACCGAGUGAAGCCGCGUGUGAAGGGUUGGUGUAUACAAAUG